AUGACGUCAAUCAUCAUGCCCCUUAUGACCUGGGCUACACACGUGCUACAAUGGCUGGUACAACGAGUCGCGAGUCGGUGACGGCAAGCUAAUCUCUUAAAGCCAGUCUCAGUUCGGAUUGUAGGCUGCAACUCGCCUACAUGAAGUCGGAAUCGCUAGUAAUCGCGGAUCAGCACGCCGCGGUGAAUACGUUCCCGGGCCUUGUACACACCGCCCGUCACACCACGAGAGUUUGUAACACCCGAAGUCGGUGAGGUAACCAUUUGGAGCCAGCCGCCUAAGGUGGGAUAGAUGAUUGGGGUGAAGUCGUAACAGGGUAACCGUAA
rnacentral:rRNA from 1 species